UUCAAUGAUUAUAGUUCUGUUGGGUAUUCUCUCCUUCUCAAGAAGGAGAAGGCGAUUAUUGUGCAGCCUGAUCGUGUGGUGAUUGCAAAUGGACCUGCAUUUGGGUGUAUUCUGAUGAAGGAUUUUUUAAGUGCCCUUGCUAAGAGGCUCAAGUGCAAUACUACUGCUUAUGAUAAUUACCACAGGAUUUUUGUUCCCGAGGGACAACCUUUGAGGGGUGCUCCCAAAGAACCUUUGAGGGUUAAUGUUCUGUUCGAACAUAUACAGAAGAUGCUGUCUAGUGAAACUGCUGUGAUUGCUGAGACUGGAGACU
rnacentral:lncRNA from 1 species